rnacentral:lncRNA from 1 species
GGGUGCUCUGCCCCUUCCAUCCCCGGUUACAACUGAAGCAGCAUCCUUCCACCCUACCAUUUGCAUUCUUCGUCGAAUAACAUCGAGUGGAUAAGCAACUGUCUGGCCAACAGUUCCAGCUGCGGCUCCACAUGCAAGCCUUGUCGGUACACUCAGUUCGUUGUUUUCGACCAGGUUAAAUGUGUUGGACUUCAGCAACCAGUCUUUUAGGGAUUCAUAAACAGCAAAGUUGAGACCCACAUACGGUACCUGUAAUUAUAACAAGAUAACAGCAUUCAAUUUUGAGGCUUUUCAGUAGGGGAGAGAGAAAAGUAGAUCUCUUUCGGUUAAUACAUCAGUAUCGAGGUUAAAUACAUAGGAUCAAACAAUCAGGGGAAAUUUGAAAUUUCCACCAUAUCAAACUGCAGCACAUUCAAUCAAAGAACAUGAAUAUGCCCUGUGCUGUGAUGGUACAUAAUCCUUAUAACUUGUUUUUGGUAAAAGUACCCUAAUAAUGGCGAUAAACAAACCAAUGAACAAGGAAAUCAUUCACUUACAACUCCUAUGACGGAAGGAAGCCAGCCCUUGUAUAAUGCACGAGGCCCUUCUUCCUUCAGGACAGUUCUAAGAGCAUGAGCAAUACCUCUGUACUGACGAGGAGACUGAUCUGUCUGAGAAAAAAGCAACCAUAUGAACAGAUUUAGAGUAGAAGGGAUAAGAUGAAAUAGCAAGUUUCAGCGGAGCGUCACAAACUCUACCUGGACAGUUAGGCGACCUCUAACCAAGUCCAUCGGGUAAGUAGCUGACAUGGCGAUUAUACCAGCACAAGCACCAGCUCCCAGACGCAAAACAGGAGUAAGCUGUGCAUCAUCUGCAAGACGGAGAGAUUGACGCUCAAACAAUAUUUUAAAAACCCGGAUCACUCACUAUCCAUGAGCAAUUGAAUGCGAAAACUGAUGAACAUUAGCUGGCAACAAAAUUACUAUACCUUUUCCAGUUUGGCGCCUAUAGAACCAUAGAAUACCCCUGUUUAUGACAAGAGAACAGACACGAAUAAAUUCUUCAGAAGGCUGAGAUAUAGUAAACUAGAAUAACAUGAUAUAAAAACUUGCAUCUAGCACUUUCUACUGAACACAGUUCAUAAAAUUAAUGCCCAAGUCAAUAAACUAGAAAUUCAAGAGAACGAGGCAGAAAAGCGUACUCAGAGGCUUUCUCGUAACUGAAGAACUUGACAGCUGAAUUUGGUACAAUUCGAGCACAGUUCGUGCCAUUUCCUUUAAACAAUCCUCUGAAACCCUCGGUUCUCCAAAUGUAUUUCAACCCCUGAAUUGUACCAUUGUAUUUUAUACUGUGUCGAUUUUGGACCUGCAUAUAUCAAAUCAGAGCCAUCCGUCACCAAAUCAACCGAAACCUGCAGGACGUUCACAGUACUUACCCAUCUGUCUCUAAACAGUGGACCAAGACGGAAUAAAGGAACAAGAAGUCUACAUACAGAACUCUGUGACCGCCGAGAUAUGCGCAACAAAAUGAUCCUGAAAUAUGUCAGGAAAUUACCUGGAGUAGAAUUUUUAGUCUUUCUAGUGGAGCAACAGCUGUGCGGGACCUGCAACGUACACCAUAUCAACACUUCUGAUAAACAACGCAGCUGUAGAAGAGAUAAAAUCACCCAGCCUACAGAAACAGAUGCUUUACUUUGCAUUAUGGAAAGGGAAAGAAAGAAAGAUAGAAUCUUGGCCAAGUGUACAAACCAUUAGGUGAAAACAAAGACCACAUAUAGCAUCAUUUCAAUUUGACAAUCAAGUAAUCAACCAAAUUGAAAAUGUCUCCUCCUCCAACAUCACCACUAAAAGACCACGGUAGCAGACACCACGACCAUCCAAACAUCAAAUUGGAACGAAAAAGAAAAUCUGAAAGAGAAAUUACACCUUAAUUUGACAAAUAGUUUGAGAUAUCGUCAAUCAGUCUACAGCAUGAACUACCGUACAGUUAAAAUCCUCACAAACCCACGGCAAAAAAUAUCCAACCAUUAGUAAGCAUUCAAAUCAAUUUGACAGAGCAGUAUCAUGAUGUUUAAGUUGCUAUGUCUAGAUUCAACCCAUAACUCAGCUGGUACUGAUGAUAUCAAUCAAUCGGUUGGAAGAGCUGGAUGCUAGACAAUCAAAUAAACAUAUUAUCUAAGAACUAGGGAUUCAGCAACAAACAAGAAAAGGACCGAUGAUUCUACGUCAAACCCAAUACGAUUCCCUCCGAUACAUACACAGAGCAACAGCCAUAAAUUAAUUAAUUAUAAACGAAAACAAUCAAGAAAUCGUUUUAAAAAAGAAAACUCACACUCCUCCGGCAACACCACCGGCGACGAGGGAUUUGCAGAUGCUGAGGAAAGCGGGGCCCUGAGUCUUGACACCUUCACGAGCUAGCUUGGCCUCUUCAGUAGCGAGAUUGACGAUCGUCGAAACAGCAGCCUCCCCACUAGUCUUCACAUCUUCGGACGCCAUAGUCUGUACGAAGAAGAAAUAAACAAAGAACUCUCUUUUUCAGCAGCCAAAAUUUGUGUCGGGAUUGCGGCGGCGAUGUGCAAAGUCUGAUGCAGAACGCCAGAUUCAGGGAGGCGUCUCUGCGAGGUGGAGGGCCGAGGGAGUGACUAGUGAGUAGUGAGAGCUGUUGAUUACAAAAGGGAAAGCUAAAAUAGGAUUUAUUAGUUAAAUGCUAUUUCUGGUAUGAUCAAUAUGCAAUAAGAAUUUGGGGUUUAGGCUUUAGGGUUUUUAAAAUUCACCAUUUUUUUUUGUUAAAUAGUGAUUAUGUCUAUAUGAUAUAUUUUUAGUAUCCGUUUUGGAAUGGAGAGGUUUGGAGAUGGUCGCAUUAUUCAUUUAUUUUCAUGACAGUUAUUUAUUAAUCAUAAUCAUUCUCAUUUUUAUUAUAGUGACAAAAUUACUUCUAUCACUAUACUCACGCGGUUAAUGUUUAUAACCACUCUCAACGUUAUUUAACGUUACGCAAAAAGAAAUGAAAACCAAAAGUGAAAAAUGGAUCAAAGAGUGGCGGAUGAGAUAUUUUCAAGGAAGAAAUGAAUAAAUGGAUUAGGUUUCGUCUUUUAGAGAGAUUUCGUAUACAUUUGGAUUAGGUAGUUGGCUUAUUGGGCUCUUGUAUUGAUAGGUAAAUAUUUGUUAUACAAAGAGUCGGCAAUGGAUAUGAGUAUGGUUAUGGUGACUGUACGGUUACUUCAAAACGCAGGACUUAACAUUACACAUUCCUAGCGUUUAACGGUUAUCACUAGAAUCUCAAUCAAUAUGAUAAAUAACCGUCAUACCCGGUGUGGUUAUGAUCGAUUAAGCGGUUAGGAUUGCUAAGUCUUUGUUUAGUAUAUAAAUUGAAAAUCAGAGGAUGCAUGAGAAUAGGGGAAUGAUGAAACUGUUCGAAAUAGUAUUAGUAGUGGUGUCUAAAGGUUAUUUUGUAAUCACAAAUGGACUUGUGUGAGCACAGAUAAUGAUCCUAAACGCUGAAAACUAUUCAACAGAAUUCAUACUUGGGCUACACUGCUAAUCGCUAUAUUGAAUCCAUGCCAGAAGCUACACAAGCACCAUUACAAAAUUGAACACUUCUUCAUCCAGAUUCUCGACCGGAGUACUGCGCAUUCACCAGCACAUGUGGUUGGCACGAAUCAAAAGAUGGAAACUUCGAACGAAGAAGCAAACAGCUCAUCUCAGCAAUUGCAGAAUGCAAGAGAGACAGGAAUCUGCAUUGAGGAACAAAGUGGAAGGAGUUGCAGGCCUUCUAGCAAAGAGGAAACAGAGAAGCAGCCGUACAUCAACUCAAGAGCAAGGUGGCAGAAAUCAUGGAGAGUGGAAACAAGCAUGAAGUAGAAAGAUCAAGGCAUGGUCCACUAAACAGAGUAUAAAUGAAAAGCCGUACGAAUCAUAUCAGCCUUUGUUUCGAUCGUUUUCGGCCUCUGACAUGGCAGAGUAUUGAUAUCUGAACAUAGGGCCUAGUCGGUACAUAAUCAGCGGAACCGAUUGGUUCUCCAGAAAUGUUUGAGAAGACCUUCUACGAAAUCAGCCACCAAACUCUACCACGAUGUUUAUCAAUUGAAAGAAUCAAGAUUCAACAUCACUCAAUAAGCAUCAACACAUUCCAUAAAAUGUCACCCAAAAAGCUAUUGAUGAAACAUCACAUUCUCCAAAUAGAAUACACCUCAAGUCUCUCUCCCUCUCUAUCUAUCCUGUCAUAGAUGUGCUAGCCUAAAUUUCGUACUCUCUUAUUGCCACAUCCAGUAAUACGAAUAAUAAGAAAUCUAGAUAGCGAAAUAUGGGUUCAGACGGAGAUCACAAAACAAAACAGGCGGCUGGUUAUUAAAACAUAGAUAUAAGUUGUGGUUAUGUUCCGUACUUCUAAAUCUGACUCCCUAAAAGCAGGUUCCCCAUCACCAACAGCCUAUUGAUCCCCUCCUUCCUCCAAAUACCAUUCCAUUGCCGGGCAGUACAGCCGCCACUAGCUAGAAACUCUGCAGUCGCAUCUAGUCGGAUAUCCUCAUUUCGACCCCGAGUACAUCUUUCACCAUCUCGUAUGUCACGAAUGCAAUGGCAAUGGAUGGAACAACCUAAGAGAGAAGAUUCAAGAGGACAUUACGAAAAUGAUUAUCGAUGCUAUAAAAUCUCCUGAAUAAGAUGAGAAAUGGGUACUGACCUUUACUGAAUUGGGGACUAAACCCUUGUAUAAUGCUCCGAAACCCUCAUAUCGAACUGUUUUCCUAAAGGCAUCAACCAUACCGGUGUACUCGAGGGGAGCUCUGCCCCUUCCAUCCCCAGUUACAACUGAAGCAGCAUCCUUCCACCCUACCAUUUGCAUUCUUCGUCGAAUAACAUCGAGUGGAUAAGCAACUGUCUGGCCAACAGUUCCAGCCGCGGCUCCACAUGCAAGCCUUGUCGGUACACUCAGUUCGUUGUUUUCGACCAGGUUAAAUGUGUUGGACUUCAGCAACCAGUCUUUUAGGGAUUCAUAAACAGCAAAGUUGAGACCCACAUACGGUACCUGUAAUUGUAACAACAAUCCAUUAAGUCUUCAUAUCAGAUUGCAGGACUCAGUCAAAGAACAUCAACGCCGUAGUGCCCUAAUGAUGAUGAUAAAG